rnacentral:rRNA from 1 species
AUUGAACGCUGGCGGCAGGCCUAACACAUGCAAGUCGAACGGUAACAGGAAACAGCUUGCUGUUUCGCUGACGAGUGGCGGACGGGUGAGUAAUGUCUGGGAAACUGCCUGAUGGAGGGGGAUAACUACUGGAAACGGUAGCUAAUACCGCAUAACGUCGCAAGACCAAAGAGGGGGACCUUCGGGCCUCUUGCCAUCAGAUGUGCCCAGAUGGGAUUAGCUAGUAGGUGGGGUAACGGCUCACCUAGGCGACGAUCCCUAGCUGGUCUGAGAGGAUGACCAGCCACACUGGAACUGAGACACGGUCCAGACUCCUACGGGAGGCAGCAGUGGGGAAUAUUGCACAAUGGGCGCAAGCCUGAUGCAGCCAUGCCGCGUGUAUGAAGAAGGCCUUCGGGUUGUAAAGUACUUUCAGCGGGGAGGAAGGGAGUAAAGUUAAUACCUUUGCUCAUUGACGUUACCCGCAGAAGAAGCACCGGCUAACUCCGUGCCAGCAGCCGCGGUAAUACGGAGGGUGCAAGCGUUAAUCGGAAUUACUGGGCGUAAAGCGCACGCAGGCGGUUUGUUAAGUCAGAUGUGAAAUCCCCGGGCUCAACCUGGGAACUGCAUCUGAUACUGGCAAGCUUGAGUCUCGUAGAGGGGGGUAGAAUUCCAGGUGUAGCGGUGAAAUGCGUAGAGAUCUGGAGGAAUACCGGUGGCGAAGGCGGCCCCCUGGACGAAGACUGACGCUCAGGUGCGAAAGCGCGGGGAGCAAACAGGAUUAGAUACCCUGGUAGUCCACGCCGUAAACGAUGUCGACUUGGAGGUUGUGCCCUUGAGGCGUGGCUUCCGGAGCUAACGCGUUAAGUCGACCGCCUGGGGAGUACGGCCGCAAGGUUAAAACUCAAAUGAAUUGACGGGGGCCCGCACAAGCGGUGGAGCAUGUGGUUUAAUUCGAUGCAACGCGAAGAACCUUACCUGGUCUUGACAUCCACGGAAGUUUUCAGAGAUGAGAAUGUGCCUUCGGGAACCGUGAGACAGGUGCUGCAUGGCUGUCGUCAGCUCGUGUUGUGAAAUGUUGGGUUAAGUCCCGCAACGAGCGCAACCCUUAUCCUUUGUUGCCAGCGGUCCGGCCGGGAACUCAAAGGAGACUGCCAGUGAUAAACUGGAGGAAGGUGGGGAUGACGUCAAGUCAUCAUGGCCCUUACGACCAGGGUUACACACGUGCUACAAUGGCGCAUACAAAGAGAAGCGACCUCGCGAGAGCAAGCGGACCUCAUAAAGUGCGUCGUAGUCCGGAUUGGAGUCUGCAACUCGACUCCAUGAAGUCGGAAUCGCUAGUAAUCGUGGAUCAGAAUGCCACGGUGAAUACGUUCCCGGGCCU